AUAUACAUGUACCUGUAGUAUGUUUAAAAGUUUGUUGUGCUUAUUUGUGUUAAAAUCAAAAUAUAAUUUUUCAGCUAAGCACAAACAAUAUAUGAAAGUGAUGCAAUGUUCUUUGCUUUCUAUGAAGUUCAAUUUUAAAGUUGUUCUUUGGCAAGAUCAUAACCUAAGAAUAACCAUACUUAUCUAAUAUUUUAGUUUUUCAGGCAAUCUAAGUAUAAAUGCUCAAAAUGAAUUGGUGGUCUUUGCUUUCUCUGCACUUUGCUGUGGCACCUUGUGCAUCAUCAUGUCCUUGCAACCUAAGGGUGUCUCCCUCUCCUCAUCUGCCUGAGAAAUGGACUCAAGUAUGCAGUGACUGGAGAGGAGGUAAAGAACUGUAUGCAGUGCUUGAUCAGAAUCAGCAACCAGGUUCAAAAACUGAUGUUGCAUACCUUGCUGCAUUCGUGGAUACAUGUGAGAUGGAGCAAACAUUGGCUAGCAUCAAGAAGACAGGAACUAAGAAACAGAGCAAAAGGGAGAGAGAAGCACAGGGAUCUCCUAUCAACUGGCUUUCUCCAGCUACCGCAAUACCUGGACGCCACUAGCCUAAGGCCUAGCACUUAGAACUCAAGCCAGAUAAGAUCCUGGAGACAUCUACAUGUACCUGAGACAAACAAAAAUGAAUUUAUUGCCAGUAAGUUAUUUAUUCC